UACAUGUGGGGCAAGCGUUGUUCGGAAUUACUGGGCAUAAAGGGUGCGUAGGUGGUUUGUUAAGUCAGGGGUGAAAUCCCGCGGCCCAACCGUGGAACUGCCUUUGAUACUGGCGAACUUGAGUGCGUGAGGGGUAGGGGGAACGAGCAGUGUAGCGGUGAAAUGCGUAGAUAUUGCUCGGAAGGCCAGAGCCGAAGGGGCCCUACUGGUACGUAACUGACGCUGAGGCACGAAAGCGUGGGGAGCAAACAGG
rnacentral:rRNA from 1 species